GGAGCAGCAACGAUGUUACGCAGCAGGGCAGUCGCCCUAAAACAAAGUUAGCCGAGAGGAGAAACUAUGUCUGCAAA
rnacentral:sRNA from 1 species